rnacentral:lncRNA from 10 species
AAAAACAAAACCAACAAGCAAAACCCCCACUAUCAACUACCCAGAAAUAAUUGUCAUAACAUUUGGCAACAUCAUCCUAGUUCCUAGUGAUCUCUCUAUGUAUGUACCCAUAUUCACACAUAGACAUAAUUCUACAAAAAUGGGACCUACUGUAAAUGCUUUUUUUAAAAAACAAAAAGCAUUAAAUUUGUCUUUACUUGAACUAAACUGGAGAAAAGCUAGUGAAAUUGGUAGAAUUGCUCAAUCUCAGAUUAAUAAGUUUCUUCACAUCAAGCAAUUUUAUUUUCCUAGAAGAUAACUCUAAAAUUUCAAAAGAUUUUUUUACUUAAAAAAAAAAAACCCAAUCACCAAAAUGCUUCAAUUCAAGCAGUAUCUAUGGAUCUGCCUGCACUGAAGACCACUGGACCAGAUCCAGAAUGCUUAGAUGCCAAGCUCAACCCUGGACUUAUUGAAGAAUGACUUACUGAAGGAGGAGCAGAGUCUGAGAAGCAGUCCCUCAUAAUCACCACACCUGGGAAUGUGCCAAGUCUCAUCUGAAGUAAGCGCAGCUCUGAGUCUCACCCAACGCUCAUGCUACAGAGCAGCAUCUGAAGAGCCACGGGGCCCCCACCUUCAUCCCUGAGAAUUUUAGGAGCCAGCCUGCCUUUCCAGGUGACACUGGACACUUUCAUCUGAGAACCCUGUCACAUGACAGUUGUUUCCUUUCUUCCUCCUCUCCUGGGAAUGCUGCUGCUUCGAUGACCCAAGAGCCUAAGAAGGGUAGCUGUUUCUCAAUACACUGAGAGAGAGUUCUUUCUCCGUCCUGACCAUCUUGGGACCCGAUGGCAAGACUGGAAGGAUUUAUAUCUCCUUUUGUACAGAAAACUGCCUCCCCAUGUUGGUUUGUGAAGUGAAAUGCAUAUAAAACAGAGGAUUCCAGACUCUCAGAAGUCAAUACAUAAAUAAAUAAAAAUAAAACUGAGAAGAUACCUCAAAAUGGUCAGACUCAUUAGCAUCAUCCAGGUGUAUUUUCUCUUCAAACAGUGUCAGUGGGUCUCUAAUAAAGAGAUGAGCAACAUGCUGGGCCAGGAGAUGAUCAAUGCCUGCAAAAAGAGAUCACAUGGGAACUCACUGCAAAGCGAGAGAUACCACUUCCUCUUAGUCCAGAAAGACGACAGGAUAGCUCAGGAAGUUUGAAGAAAGGGUGUCUAGAAGCUUGAAAUAGCUGGUUUGAUUAGUAUCCUCACCUCACCCAGUAUUUUAUCCUGCGGACACUGCGGGAGUGUCAGCGUUUUAUUCACUACUUACACAAUGCCUGCUGGGGCACUGGUGUGGACCUAGACACAGACCUCCAAAGUAAGCUCCUUUUGCUAAAAAUCAAGAAAAUCUCACAAGUAUUUGGAACCUGAAACUUUAGGAACAAGUAGCCUCAUGAGAGAAGUUAAAGACUUUGCACUAAAAAUAGAAACCAGACCAGGAGUCAGCAAAAAAGUGUAAAAGAGCUUUGAAGAACUAAAGGCGUACAUUCAAACCCAGAAAGAUGGAGUAGAAACCCACCUUCCUGCAACAGCUGUUCGUAGAUCUCUUUAUCUAUCGUCAA